rnacentral:lncRNA from 7 species
CUUCCAGACUUGGGGAGUGGGAAUCGAUUCAAGAUACUGAGUUCUCACUGCGAGACAUGGUGCUUUGAUCAGCACAGUGCAGGGACAGCCCAUAGCUGAGGAGUUGCUCUUGCUGCAAAUUACAGUUGCUAGCGAUGAACGACCUGUUACAUUGGAGGGGCACCUUGGGAGGAUGAUGAUUUGGAGGCCCUUUCCUGGGGUCCUGGAUGGCCAGUGGAGAGCUUUCCCCUCUUGCUUGCUCUCUCCCUUCACCCCAGAAGAAAAUUCCACCGUUAGAGCUGAUGUACAACUUCACUUGCUGCUAAAUCUGUAUGUAUCUCACUGUUUUUGUGAGGAUAUUCCAGACCAAGUAAGCCAGUCCUUUUAGCAUGCCAGCAGAAUGAAUGCACCCAACACUGAUGAUGGCGGACAUCCGAAACAACCUGCCUUCCAAGCAUGGUCAUACAAUGAUUACAUUCAAUGGUUCCUGCUUGGAGUUGUGUUUGAGGCUGAUUAUGUUGAGACCCACAAAUUAUUGCAGCCUGCCACACGUGCCGUUCUCUGUGUUAAAUCAAUAUUAUAUGACAGUUUUUUCAGCAGGAGGAUGUUGCAGGGGGUAAGGCAGCGUGGACACUGCUCCCACACUGCCUGCCUGGGGGCAGGGACAGAAAGCAGCUAUGCAGCUGUGGUAUUGAUGGUGCUGCUUGACCCCGACACAAGCUGAAGCUGUACAACCUCAGAAGAGAUUCAGUGUCAGGCAGAGCAGGCUGCUGGUCUGAAGAAAUGCUCGGGAUCACUGGUGCUGGGAAUGGUUUUGCUAACCAGUUCAUAAUCGUGUGGGAGCAAUUAUGGCUUGCACGUUAUUUGUAAACCCUUGCUUCUUUUCCUUUCAUUUAAUCUUGGGAGAUAAAGAACGACUGAUGGCACACGCACAGAGCCUGCACAGCGAAGGCAAAGCUGCAAGGCUUUUUUCUCCUGCUCCUGUUGCCUCCUUGCUGCCCGUGCCGCCUGGGUGAAGGCCGUGCUGUGCUAUGGCAGAGUGCCAGCCGGCAGCCCAGCGCAUGACUGCUGCUGCAGUGUAACGUGCUCAGGGGAAGCAGGGCUCUGUCCUGCCUCAGCCUUCGCUUCUCUUCUCUUCGGUUUCCUCUGACUUCACCGUGGGAAACACUUUCUGACUUGUACCUGAUCUUGUGGGGGAGGCUGUGAGCAAGUGUGAAUGUUUCUGAAGUGCUUAAUUAUCUGUUGUUAUACACGUUAAGCCUUUUUUUUUUUUUCCUUUCAUCUUAAUAUAUACUUCAGAAGCCUUGGGGGAAAGGUUUAUUUGGCAAAUCUUGCAUGAUAAAGCCAAGACAUUUGUAGCAGGAGAUCUCCUGUAGAUGGGGAGGGGAUGAGGAGCACUUGAACAGGGAGACUUACAAGUAGGCUUAAUGGUGAAAGUGCAGACAGGUAUGCAAGCUGUAAAGUGCAUCCCCUGUAGUUGCAUGAAAGCCUGGCAAUUUGGCACUGCUGUGAACCUGGCCUGAGUGCGUUGCUUUCAGAG